rnacentral:tmRNA from 1 species
GGGGGUGUAAAGGUUUCGAUUGCCGGUGAGCGGAAAGAUAAGCAUACCGCAGACGGAGUGGCUGCGUUAAAAACAUUCCGUAAAAUUUAAAUGCAGAUAACAAUGCAGAAUACGCCUUAGCGGCGUAACUUUGUUUUAAACAAAGCGUCGGCUUUCAUUUUUUCGUCGGUGAAAGACGCGGCGUAAAUCAAGACGAAAAAAUCUUUUUGUUCCGGCGGGAGGGGACGGAAAGAUUAAAAUUAUCCCGUGCGAAAGCGGCGGCGCGUUUACCCGCAACCGUUUUUUAAGAAUAAAGGCAAACUAAGUAUGUAGAAAGUUUUUUGGCAGCCGAGUAAGACGUGGGUUCGAUCCCCACCACUUCCACCA